rnacentral:hammerhead_ribozyme from 1 species
AUCCAUCUGACGAGUCCCAAAUAAAACGAAGCGUACGUCCUGGAU